AGUAACACAUGGGUGACCUGCCUUUCAGUGAGGAAUACCGGCCAGAAAUGGCCGACAAUACCGCAUACGGUCUCCCCUUUGCGGGGAGAAGAAAGCUCGCAAGAGCGCUGGAAGAUGGGCCCGUGGCCGAUUAGCUGGUUGGUGGGGUAAAGGCCUACCAAGGCGACGAUCGGUAGCUGGUCUGAGAGGACGAUCAGCCACACUGGGAUUGAGAACGGCCCAG
rnacentral:rRNA from 1 species